UAUACCCUGGUAGUCCAUGCUGUAAACGAUGUCGACUUGGAGGUUGUGCCCUUGAGGCGUGGCUUCCGGAGCUAACGCGUUAAGUCGACCGCCUGGGGAGUACGGCCGCAAGGUUAAAACUCAAAUGAAUUGACGGGGGCCCGCACAAGCGGUGGAGCAUGUGGUUUAAUUCGAUGCAACGCGAAGAACCUUACCUACUCUUGACAUCCACGGAAUUCGCCAGAGAUGGCUUAGUGCCUUCGGGAACCGUGAGACAGGUGCUGCAUGGCUGUCGUCAGCUCGUGUUGUGAAAUGUUGGGUUAAGUCCCGCAACGAGCGCAACCCUUAUCCUUUGUUGCCAGCACGUAAUGGUGGGAACUCAAAGGAGACUGCCGGUGAUAAACCGGAGGAAGGUGGGGAUGACGUCAAGUCAUCAUGGCCCUUACGAGUAGGGCUACACACGUGCUACAAUGGCAUAUACAAAGAGAAGCGAACUCGCGAGAGCAAGCGGACCUCAUAAAGUAUGUCGUAGUCCGGAUUGGAGUCUGCAACUCGACUCCAUGAAGUCGGAAUCGCUAGUAAUCGUAGAUCAGAAUGCUACGGUGAAUACGUUCCCGGGCCUUGUACACACCGCCCGUCACACCAUGGGAGUGGGUUGCAAAAGAAGUAGGUAGCUUAAC
rnacentral:rRNA from 1 species